rnacentral:rRNA from 1 species
AUUGAACGCUGGCGGCAUGCCUUACACAUGCAAGUCGAACGGCAGCACGGGAGCAAUCCUGGUGGCGAGUGGCGAACGGGUGAGUAAUACAUCGGAACGUGCCCAAUCGUGGGGGAUAACGCAGCGAAAGCUGUGCUAAUACCGCAUGAGAUCUACGGAUGAAAGCAGGGGACCGCAAGACCUUGCGCGAAUGGAGCGGC